rnacentral:rRNA from 1 species
AAAAGGCUUGCCAAGAAUGGACGAAGGUAUGAUUCUAGGAAAUCUAGAUUUGAAAGAAGGAAGCACCCGAGGAGCAAUCAAACGGACAUUUCUACGAGUGAACUCGCUAAAGCUGAAGAUCCACCACAGAAGAGCUACGUAAACAAGGAACACAUGAACCUGCUAAGGAUCCACUCCACCUGCCAAGUGGACCAAUCACAAGAGCUCGGGCCGAGAAAUUCGAUCUAA